UGGGGAAAACGGUGCAAAACCGAUGCUGCCCCGCAACUGUAACCGUUGACGAAAUCUGCUUAUACCGCUGGAAGAAAUUCCGGGAACGUGCGGAGAUUAGGUAAAGACGGAAGCCAGAAUACCC
rfam:Desulfomonile tiedjei DSM 6799, complete genome.